GCCAUCGUCUCAACGGAUAAAAGCUACCCUGGGGAUAACAGGCUUAUCUCCCCCAAGAGUUCACAUCGACGGGGAGGUUUGGCACCUCGAUGUCGGCUCGUCGCAUCCUGGGGCUGUAGUCGGUCCCAAGGGUUGGGCUGUUCGCCCAUUAAAGCGGCACGCGAGCUGGGUUCAAAACGUCGUGAGACAAUUCGGUCCCUAUCCGUCGCGGGCGUUGGAAAUUUGAAAGGAUCUGCUCCUAAUUCGAAAGGACCAGAGUGGACUUACCGCUGGUGUUCCAGUUGUCUUGCCAAAGGCCUCGCUGGGUUUCUAUGUUGGGAAGGGAUAAGCGCUGAAAGCAUCUAAGUGCGAAGCCCACCUCAAGAUGAAAUUUCCCAUGAUUUUAUAUCCGUAAGAGCCCUGAGAGAUGAUCAGGUUAAUAGGUUAUGAAUGUUAUUGUGGUGACCUUUUUAGCGGAUAAUACUAAUAGCUCGAGGACUUAUCCAA
rnacentral:rRNA from 1 species